AUUGAACGCUGGCGGCAGGCCUAACACAUGCAAGUCGAGCGGAGCGGCGGACGGGUGAGUAAUGCCUAUGAAUCUGCCUGGUCGUGGGGGAUAACGUCCGGAAACGGGCGCUAAUACCGCCUACUCUCAGAUGAGCCUAGGUCGGAUUAGCUAGUUGGUGGGGUAAAGGCCUACCAAGGUGACGAUCCGUAACUGGUCUGAGAGGAUGAUCAGUCACACUGGAACUGAGACACGGUCCAGACUCCUACGGGAGGCAGCAGUGGGGAAUAUUGGACAAUGGGCGAAAGCCUGAUCCAGCCAUGCCGCGUGUAUGAAGAAGGUCUUCGGGUUGUAAAGCACUUUAAGUUGGGAGGCGUUACCAACAGAAUAAGCACCGGCUAACUUCGUGCCAGCAGCCGCGGUAAUAC
rnacentral:rRNA from 1 species